UGGGGAAUCUUGGUCAAUGGGCGCAAGCCUGAACCAGCGACGCCGCGUGAGUGAUGAAGGCCUUCGGGUUGUAAAGCUCUGUGGGGAGGGACGAAAGACUGAGGUCUAAUAGGCUUCAGGUUGACGGUACCUCCUUAGCAAGCACCGGCUAACUCUGUGCCAGCAGCCGCGGUAAGACAGAGGGUGCAAACGUUGCUCGGAAUCACUGGGCGUAAAGGGCGUGUAGGCGGGAAGGCAAGUCAGAUGUGAAAGCCCCAGGCUCAACCUGGGAACUGCAUUUGAAACUGCUUUUCUUGAGUACCGGAGAGGAAAGUGGAAUACCUGGUGUAGAGGUGAAAUUCGUAGAUAUCAGGUGGAACACCAGUGGCGAAGGCGGCUUUCUGGACGGUAACUGACGCUGAGACGCGAAAGCGUGGGGAGCAAACAGGAUUAGAUACCCCCGUAGUCC
rnacentral:rRNA from 1 species